AAAGGCGGGAAAACCGAGACCGAGAAUCAGGAGGUUAGACCGGUAGAACUCUUGUAGAGGUAGGAGGUAGAGCAAGGACAAGUAAAUAUCAAAAAGCCCUGGGACAGGAAUUGAGAAACCAGAUAGAACGAGGACGUUUAUGUUAGAAUGUCAGAAAACUAAUAGCUGUCGGGCUGGGGAUUUAGCUCAGUGGUUUCGCCAUCUGCUGCGCAAGCGCAAAGACCGGAGUUCGAUCCCCGGUACCAAAAAAAGAAGAAAACUACUAAAUGUCACUCUUCCCUCAAGACCCUCAGGCAUGCGCAUACCUGAAAAUUCCUGAUCACUACAGUAACAAGCAGGUUCAUGCCAAUGAUGCCACCAAUGAUGAUGAAGACAGCAAAGUAGAUGGCUCCCCCAAUCUCCAGAGCUCUGCCUCUUUGGGAGAAGGAAGCCUGAAGCCGAGGGCACUCACCGGAAGUCGCUGUAGAUGUCCACCCAUCCAUCCUGCGUGAGGCAGACGAAGAGCGUAUACAAGGCCACCCCCAGAUUCCCGAAAUGGAUAGGCACAAACUCACCAAAGAGUGUGACCCCAAGCAAUGCAAAAACCUGCCAAAGACCAAAGCCCCGCCCUAGCUUCACUCAGGGUACUUGGAGACAAAACAUGAAAAUGAAUUCAAAUAGGAUGCAAAUAAAUGUUGCCAAGGAAAAUAAAUGUAGAGUUCAGACCUGUAAGCCUCUUUUCUCCAGGUACCCCUCUCUUCCCAAAGCCCCGG